CGGUAACAGGAAGCAGCUUGCUGCUUCGCUGACGAGUGGCGGACGGGUGAGUAAUGUCUGGGAAACUGCCUGAUGGAGGGGGAUAACUACUGGAAACGGUAGCUAAUACCGCAUAACGUCGCAAGACCAAAGAGGGGGACCUUCGGGCCUCUUGCCAUCGGAUGUGCCCAGAUGGGAUUAGCUAGUAGGUGGGGUAACGGCUCACCUAGGCGACGAUCCCUAGCUGGUCUGAGAGGAUGACCAGCCACACUGGAACUGAGACACGGUCCAGACUCCUACGGGAGGCAGCAGUGGGGAAUAUUGCACAAUGGGCGCAAGCCUGAUGCAGCCAUGCCGCGUGUAUGAAGAAGGCCUUCGGGUUGUAAAGUACUUUCAGCGGGGAGGAAGGGAGUAAAGUUAAUACCUUUGCUCAUUGACGUUACCCGCAGAAGAAGCACCGGCUAACUCCGUGCCAGCAGCCGCGGUAAUACGGAGGGUGCAAGCGUUAAUCGGAAUUACUGGGCGUAAAGCGCACGCAGGCGGUUUGUUAAGUCAGAUGUGAAAUCCCCGGGCUCAACCUGGGAACUGCAUCUGAUACUGGCAAGCUUGAGUCUCGUAGAGGGGGGUAGAAUUCCAGGUGUAGCGGUGAAAUGCGUAGAGAUCUGGAGGAAUACCGGUGGCGAAGGCGGCCCCCUGGACGAAGACUGACGCU
rnacentral:rRNA from 1 species